rnacentral:rRNA from 1 species
UCAGCCGCCGCGGUAACACGUAAGGGGCGAGCGUUGUUCGGAAUUAUUGGGCGUAAAGGGCGUGCAGGCGGUCGUGCAAGUCUGGUGUGAAAGGUUGGGGCUUAACCCCAAACGCGCGCUGGAAACUGCAGGACUUUUGGAGUCCCGGAGAGGAAGCUAGAAUUCCAGGUGUAGGGGUGAAAUCUGUAGAUAUCUGGAAGAAUACCGGUGGCGAAGGCGAGCUUCUGGCCGAGGACUGACGCUGAGGCGCGAAAGCGUGGGGAGCAAACAGGAUUAGAUACCCUGGUAGUCCACGCUGUAAACGAUGUACACUAGGUGUUGGGGAGUUAUCCUUGGUGCCGUAGCUAACGUGUUAAGUGUACCGCCUGGGGAGUAUGCUCGCAAGGGUGAAACUUAAAGGAAUUGGCGGGGGAC